rnacentral:rRNA from 1 species
AGCGAACGCUGGCGGCAGGCCUAACACAUGCAAGUCGAACGAAGUCUUCGGACUUAGUGGCGGACGGGUGAGUAACACGUGGGAACGUACCUUUUUGUUCGGAACAACUCAGGGAAACUUGAGCUAAUACCGGAUGAGCCCUUAGGGGGAAAGAUUUAUCGCCGAAAGAGCGGCCCGCGUUAGAUUAGCUAGUUGGUGAGGUAACGGCUCACCAAGUCUACGAUCUAUAGCUGGUCUGAGAGGAUGAUCAGCCACACUGGGACUGAGACACGGCCCAGACUCCUACGGGAGGCAGCAGUGGGGAAUCUUGCGCAAUGGGCGAAAGCCUGACGCAGCCAUGCCGCGUGAAUGAUGAAGGUCUUAGGAUUGUAAAAUUCUUUUACCAGGGACGAUAAUGACGGUACCUGGAGAAAAAGCCCCGGCUAACUUCGUGCCAGCAGCCGCCGCAG